rnacentral:tRNA from 1 species
GCCUGGGUGGCUCAGCUGGUUGAGCGGCUGACUUCGGCUCAGGUCAUGAUCUCACAGUUCGUGGGUUCGAGCCCCUCGUCGGGCU